rnacentral:lncRNA from 1 species
GGCUUUCCUUCAGUGACCAAUUGUCAUCAAGUUUUAACUUGUUGGCCAGUUUGUUGAUGUUGGUUGUUUGUUGGUUUAUAUUGUUGAAUAUUGUUGAAUAAAUGCCAUGACAAAUAAUCAGUCAAAUUUCAAAUUUAAUUGUUUGUUUGUUGUUUAUAUUGUUCUUGCGAAAGAAUGGAACAUAACUCAUCUGCAGUUAUAUAUUCAUUGCGCACAUUGAAUAUGCAAUAAUAAAAUUUAAUGAUCUAAUAAUUAAAUUGAUUUAUUGCAUUAAAAAUACAUUUAGUUGUUAAUAAUUGUGUUUCAAACGUACGUCAGUCCAUUAUUUACGUUUUGCCAUUUACAUAAUUACAACCAUAUAUUUAAACAUACGAAAGAAUAUGCUUUGAAGCGCCUCGUGGACUUUGGUCAUAUAUAAGCACGUGCUCACGCUAAAUUUUCAUUCCACGAGUAUUUUUCAAGAUUGCACAACCCACCCUCCCU